GGCUCGUGUAGAUAUUGGGUCGCUUCCUUAAACACAAGAGUCGGCUUAUCUAGUUGGUCUCAGGCAGUGAUUCUUCUCUGUUUCUCUUGAACUAUACAAGGUUCGACUCCUUAAAUACAAGGGUCGGCUCGCUCAGUUUAUAGACAGAAUUUUCAAGUUUCUUGAUUUUGUUUUUCUUGAUUCUUUGGAGUUUGUAGGUGCUAUUUUCAUCUAAAGAUCUAACCCUUCACAUUUAAGCCAACAUCAUUAGAGUACAUAUUUAACUCAAUUAUUUUUGUGAUCAUCAAAAUCUAUCCUUUAGGAUUAACAAUCUCCCUCUUUUUGAUGAUGACAAAACUA
rnacentral:lncRNA from 1 species